GGACCGACCUUCGGGAGCUUAUACAGGUGUUGCAUGGCUGUCGUCAGCUCGUGUCGUGAGAUGUUCGGUUAAGUCCGCUAACGAGCGCAACCCUCGCCGUAUGUUACAAGUGUCAUACGGGACUGCCGGUAAAAAGCCGGAGGAAGGUGAGGAUGAUGUCAAGUCAGCAUGACCUUUAUAUCCAGGGCUACACACACGCUACAAUGGUCUGUACAAUUGGUUGCCAAGCCGCGAGGCGGAGCCAAUCCGUAAAGCAGGCCUCAGUUCAGAUUGCAGUCUGCAACUCGACUGCAUGAAGCCGGAGUUGCUAGUAACCGCAGGUCAGCAAUACUGCGGUGAAUACGUUCCCGGGUCUU
rnacentral:rRNA from 1 species